rnacentral:rRNA from 1 species
CGUAAACGAUGAACACUAGGUUUCGGGGGAAUCGACCCCCUCGGUGUCGUAGCCAACGCGUUAAGUGUUCCGCCUGGGGAGUACGCACGCAAGUGUGAAACUCAAAGGAAUUGACGGGGGCCCGCACAAGCGGUGGAGUAUGUGGUUUAAUUCGAUGCAACGCGAAGAACCUUACCAGGGUUUGACAUCCUGCGAAUCCCUUGGAAACGAGGGAGUGCCUUCGGGAGCGCAGUGACAGGUGUGCAUGGCUGUCGUCAGCUCGUGUCGUGAGAUGUUGGGUUAAGUCCCGCAACGAGCGCAACCCCCGUUUUUAGUUGCCAGCAUUUAGUUGGGCACUCUAGAAAGACUGCCGGUGAUAAACCGGAGGAAGGUGUGGAUGACGUCAAGUCAUCAUGCCCCUUACAUCCUGGGCUACACACGUACUACAAUGCUACGGACAAAGGGCAGCAAACUCGCGAGAGCUAGCAAAUCCCAUAAACCGUGGCUCAGUUCAGAUCGUAGGCUGCAACUCGCCUACGUGAAGGCGGAAUCGCUAGUAAUCGCAGGUCAGCAUACUGCGGUGAAUACGUUCCCGGGCCUUGUACACACCGCCCGUCACACCAUGGA